UACGUAGGGGCCUAGCGUUGUCCGGAUUUAUUGGGCGUAAAGAGCUCGUAGGCGGUUCGGUAAGUCAGGUGUGAAAUCUCCACGCUCAACGUGGAGGCGCCACCUGAAACUGCCGUGACUCGAGUCCGGUAGGGGAGUGUGGAAUUCCCGGUGUAGCGGUGAAAUGCGCAGAUAUCGGGAGGAACACCAGUGGCGAAGGCGACUACCUGGCCUGUUCUUGACGCUGAGGCGCGAAAGCUAGGGGAGCAAACGGG
rnacentral:rRNA from 1 species